rnacentral:rRNA from 1 species
GACGAACGCUGGCGGCGUGCCUAAUACAUGCAAGUUGAGCGCUGAAGGUUGGUACUUGUACCAACUGGAUGAGCAGCGAACGGGUGAGUAACGCGUGGGGAAUCUGCCUUUGAGCGGGGGACAACAUUUGGAAACGAAUGCUAAUACCGCAUAAAAACUUUAAACACAAGUUUUAAGUUUGAAAGAUGCAAUUGCAUCACUCAAAGAUGAUCCCGCGUUGUAUUAGCUAGUUGGUGAGGUAAAGGCUCACCAAGGCGAUGAUACAUAGCCGACCUGAGAGGGUGAUCGGCCACAUUGGGACUGAGACACGGCCCAAACUCCUACGGGAGGCAGCAGUAGGGAAUCUUCGGCAAUGGACGAAAGUCUGGCCGAGCAACGCCGCGUGAGGGAAGAAGGUUUUCGGAUCGUAAAACUCUGUUGGUAGAGAAGAACGUUGGUGGGAGUGGAAAGCUCAUCAAGUGACGGUAACUACCCAGAAAGGGACGGCUAACUGCGUG